ensembl:lncRNA
GUCCAUUUUACUGUUUCUGUGUCAAGCCCAUUUCUGGGUGCGAGUCCGUUUGGUAACGCAGAAGCACUUGAACGCUCUCCGCUGGUCUGAGAACUUCCUACUUCCUCAGUGAAUCAUUAUAAUCUGUGCACACGGACAGAAUUCUUGCUCUUGGCGCCAAGAAGUACAAUCAACUGAGAGAGAGUGUUUCUUACAUGAAAGUAGUGUUUCCAGUUGGCAAAACAUAGAUUAUUUUUGCUAUUAGAGAAAUUGAUUUCUUAAGACGUUGUGAUUAAUUACGUCUGUAAAACCGAAAAUCCAUCAAAGACAAAAUAUUUUUUCCCCUUCAGAAAACACAAAUCCCUACGAUGUCAUUGACCACAUAUGACAUUCUAUUAAUAGGCACCUUGUCUCCAGAGAUGUAUCUGGGCUCACUUUCCACUUUGUCUUCCGCAGGCUCUGGGGAGAUUGAUGACCUAUGACGAGACCAGCGGAACACCCGGCGCCAUUCUGCGGGUUCCUGAGAAUCAAAGAGUACCUGCUCUCUGGAGAGGGGCCCUCUGAGGGGGACAGCAAAAGGUCUUGACCCGCCCACCGCGUGAAGCAAUUAUUUUUCUGGACAGCUCCCUGACAUUCCCAAGGAGAGAGAGAAAAUGACAGGCUCUAGUUGGAGUUUAAUCAUCCCGACCCUUCCAUCCUCGGUACCUGCAUCAAGAUGCAACACAAAUCAAAUCUUCAGGAGUCUGGACAUUUUGUUUUUGUGUAACUCAUUAAGCAUUUCCCCAUGUGCUGUGGUUGAUGUUUCUCUCGGCCAGGAAUUUUAUACCACGUGUGCAUGUCCCUAUUUGGCUCGGCAAAGUCAUUCUCAGGAUAUACAAGCUAAUGAUGCCUGUGGUUUUGAAACUUUAUUGUGAUUAUUUGCAUAGGGCAUUUGGAAAAUCUGUAGACAGGUUAUUAAGAGAUGCUGAGCAAUGGAAACAUUAUUAGGCCUUAUUAUUGUUUAUUGUACCCAGAUGUUGCGCAUUUCCAGCAUCCCAGAGGAUUAGGAGUGAUGUCAGAUACCCAACUCUUACUUUUCCUUGCAGAUAUUAAGUCUAAAUUUUCC